AGCGAACGCUGGCGGCAGGCUUAACACAUGCAAGUCGAACGCCCCGCAAGGGGAGUGGCAGACGGGUGAGUAACACGUGGGAACGUACCCUUUGGUUCGGAAUAACUUGGGGAAACUCAAGCUAAUACCGGAUAAGCCCUUAUGGGGAAAGGUUUACUGCCGAAGGAUCGGCCCGCGUCUGAUUAGCCAGUUGGUGAGGUAAUGGCUCAGCAAGGCGACGAUCAGUAGCUGGUCUGAGAGGAUGAUCAGCCACACUGGGACUGAGACACGGCCCAGACUCCUACGGGAGGCAGCAGUGGGGAAUAUUGGACAAUGGGGGCAACACUGAUCCAGCCAUGCCGCGUGAGUGAUGAAGGCCUUAGGGUUGUAAAGCUCUUUUACCCGGGACGAUAAUGACUGUACCGGGAGAAUAAGCCCCGGCUAACUUCGUGCCAGCCGCCGCAGUAA
rnacentral:rRNA from 1 species